rnacentral:rRNA from 2 species
GGAUGAACGCUGGCGGCGUGCCUAAUACAUGCAAGUCGAACGAGUUCUCGUUGAUGAUCGGUGCUUGCACCGAGAUUCAACAUGGAACGAGUGGCGGACGGGUGAGUAACACGUGGGUAACCUGCCCUUAAGUGGGGGAUAACAUUUGGAAACAGAUGCUAAUACCGCAUAGAUCCAAGAACCGCAUGGUUCUUGGCUGAAAGAUGGCGUAAGCUAUCGCUUUUGGAUGGACCCGCGGCGUAUUAGCUAGUUGGUGAGGUAAUGGCUCACCAAGGCGAUGAUACGUAGCCGAACUGAGAGGUUGAUCGGCCACAUUGGGACUGAGACACGGCCCAAACUCCUACGGGAGGCAGCAGUAGGGAAUCUUCCACAAUGGACGCAAGUCUGAUGGAGCAACGCCGCGUGAGUGAAGAAGGCUUUCGGGUCGUAAAACUCUGUUGUUGGAGAAGAAUGGUCGGCAGAGUAACUGUUGUCGGCGUGACGGUAUCCAACCAGAAAGCCACGGCUAACUACGUGCCAGCAGCCGCGGUAAUACGUAGGUGGCAAGCGUUAUCCGGAUUUAUUGGGCGUAAAGCGAGCGCAGGCGGUUUUUUAAGUCUGAUGUGAAAGCCCUCGGCUUAACCGAGGAAGCGCAUCGGAAACUGGGAAACUUGAGUGCAGAAGAGGACAGUGGAACUCCAUGUGUAGCGGUGAAAUGCGUAGAUAUAUGGAAGAACACCAGUGGCGAAGGCGGCUGUCUGGUCUGUAACUGACGCUGAGGCUCGAAAGCAUGGGUAGCGAACA